CAGCAGCCACGGGAGUACGAAGGGUGCAAGCGUUAAUCGGAAUUACUGGGCGUAAAGCGUGCGUAGGCGGUUUGUUAAGUCUGUUGUGAAAUCCCCGGGCUCAACCUGGGAAUGGCAAUGGAUACUGGCAAGCUAGAGUGUGUCAGAGGAUGGUGGAAUUCCCGGUGUAGCGGUGAAAUGCGUAGAGAUCGGGAGGAACAUCAGUGGCGAAGGCGGCCAUCUGGGACAACACUGACGCUGAGGCACGAAAGCGUGGGGAGCAAACAGGAUUAGAUACCCGCGUAGUCCCUGUCUCUUAUAC
rnacentral:rRNA from 1 species